UACGUAGGGGGCAAGCGUUGUCCGGAUUUACUGGGCGUAAAGAGCGUGUAGGUGGCCAAACAGGUCCGUUGUGAAAACUGGAGGCUCAACCUCCAGACGUCGACGGAAACCGUGUGGCUAGAGUCCGGAAGAGGAGAGUGGAAUUCCUGGUGUAGCGGUGAAAUGCGCAGAUAUCAGGAAGAACACCUAUGGCGAAGGCAGCUCUCUGGGACGGUACUGACGCUGAGACGCGAAAGCGUGGGGAGCGAACAGG
rnacentral:rRNA from 1 species